UACGAAGGGGGCUAGCGUUGUUCGGAAUUACUGGGCGUAAAGCGCACGUAGGCGGAUAUUUAAGUUAGGGGUGAAAUCCCGGGGCUCAACCCCGGAACUGCCUUUAAUACUGGGUAUCUUGAGUUCGAGAGAGGUGAGUGGAAUUCCGAGUGUAGAGGUGAAAUUCGUAGAUAUUCGGAGGAACACCAGUGGCGAAGGCGGCUCACUGGCUCGAUACUGACGCUGAGGUGCGAAAGCGUGGGGAGCAAACAGG
rnacentral:rRNA from 1 species